CUCUGAGAAACAAGGUCACUGUAAAGGUCUGCUCUGAGGAAGGAAGGAGGGCGGCGGAGGGCUCAAAAACAGUGCAGGUGAGUAAAUUCCUGUGUCUUCCCCCCUCCGCUUCAUCUUCCUCCUCACAGAAACACAGGGCCCCUCUGCAGAUGACCCCAUCUUAAACAGCUUCUGUGUCAUGCAAUUGCUCAGAAGAGAGAAAACCACCUCUUGUCCUCCUCUUCAGAAUCCAUAUUUAGGAUUCUGGUCGUCUUGCGGCAGAAAAAGGCAAAAGAGCUUCGUGAGCAUCAGACAGACUUGGCUUCCACUUUUCUGAGAGCUGUGAGAGUCCAGUACAAGCAGAGCUGGGCCCGAGGCCUCUCCUGAGAAAGCACACACAGUGAUAAAUAGCGUGGCUCAAAUGAUGACAGUGGCACUCUGGACACCACAGCCCCCGGCAUCAGGAAGGGUGGUGUGGCUGAGCCAGACAAGGGGACUCUGUCAGUGAUAAUGGGGAUAAAACCACCAAGAGCUGGGUGGUUUUCUGGGGUCAUCAGCCAUGCACUGGGGUUCUGGCCAUGCUGAGUUCACUAAGGAACACAGAAAUGCAUCCGAAUCUCGAGUCAGCUCUGGGUUCCCUGAACCAGAAGAGCUGCACACGGGCAUCGGUCCUCAAUCUCCUAGCAGGCAUGGAGUUGCUGCUCUCCUGCUGCUGCUCUGCAGCCCAGUCAGCUCCUCCUGGAAGCCGCAGAGUGCGCCCAUCUGCUGCAUGUGCGCCCUCCGGGGUGCACACAGGGCUGCAAGUUGCCAAGGGGCGGAGCUGCUCCACAGGGACAGGCCUGGAGGACAGUGAGCAGCAGGCUGCCGGUGAUGGAACAUAGAGGUGCCCUUGCAGCCCAGAGACUCUGGGUCCACUGUCCCCGAGGACGAUGCUCCUGUGCUUAUGUGCUGGGGACCUGCCACUUGCAGCAGAGUCCAAAGCCUUCAGCAUAGAAGACUGUUGGGAGCCGCCGACACCGGUCGCCUUACUUGGCGGACGUAGGGCCUGUGGGUGGGAGCGGAGCCUGAGCUAGAUUGCCCCUCCCAUCGAGUGAGUCAAGUUGGUGCCUGCUUCCUGCCCCCUGAUUGCGCUGGCGACUUAAACAACCCGCUCUGUAAGAUAGUCUGCCUAGCAACAACUGAUGUUAGCCAAUCAGCCCGCAUCGGGCGCUUUGAACUGAUUGGCCACUGUUACCCUAUAAAAGUAAAUGCCUCUCCCGCCACGAGACAGGAAGCACAGAGAAAGCACAGAGAGAGAUAGAAAAAGUCCACCGGCGAGAAAGGGCUGGUGGCAGAGUGGAGGCCUCGCGGGGCCCACGCGGAGAUAAAUAAAGGCAAGGUUGCACACCGCCAGACUUUGUCGUGUGUCUUUCCUGCCGGCCGGGAGCGACCCCGACAUUUGGUGACCCGCACGGGGACUGAUCAACCCCGAGACACGGCGGUGGUGUGCAACGCUCCAGCGUGGUGCUGCCGGACAGGAACCGGGACGAAAACCACUGUGGGUCCCAGAGAGGUUGACGCGACAAGUCCCUCGACUGAAGAUCAGGCCUGUUCCACCAGAGGCCAACCGCAGACCCAACAACAAGAUGAGCCCUAAAAGAACUGCAGGACAAUCCCUUUUUGGGGAGCCUGGAAUGGCUUGCUCCCCUAUGUUUUACCAUUGUUAGGUCCCCUGUGCUCCUUGCUUCUGCUCUUACUUGUAGGACCAUGCUUGCUCCGAUGGGUUACAUCAUUUAUUAAUGGGCGCCUUGCGGCGGCCCGGCGUCAAGUACGCCUGGUUGCCCAUGCGGCCCUGGCAGCAGCCCGUGAUGGGCACAAUGACCCCCAGGCUUACGCAUGGCUCGCUCCACUGGCCUACGACCGGGUCUAGAUGUGGCGGGUCUUCCGCACUCCUUCCCUAAUGACACCACACAGCAGGGUAGGUGAGUCAAUGACGGGUAAGAGCGUGCCUCCCCAGCAUGACUCGACCUAAGCCAGGCCCCUACCCCAUGGCGCACGAAAGCCGCUGGAUUACUAGAAUCUGCCCAGAUCUAGAUGCCUCUCCGAGGGGAUCACACGGAGGGGCAUGAGUGCAUGCCUAUGUGCAUCCAGGUUCCGUCCAGUUCACUCCUGGCCCUGGAAAAAGGACGAGGGUCUCAAGGCCUUGGCAGACCCGGGGGCGGCCGACCAGGGUCCAAGCCAAGGGCCUACGGUGGGCCUCAACACAGGGCAUAAGCCUCUGCACUCGAUCCAGGGCGGGCUGCGAUGCAUACAUUCAUUCAAAGUAAAUAAAAUAGGGGGAGAAGUUGGGAGCCGCCGACACCGGUCGCCUUACUUGGCGGACGUAGGGCCUGUGGGUGGGAGCGGAGCCUGAGCUAGAUUGCCCCUCCCAUCGAGUGAGUCAAGUUGGCGCCUGCUUCCUGCCCCCUGAUUGCGCUGGCGACUUAAACAACCCGCUCUGUAAGAUAGUCUGCCUAGCAACAACUGAUGUUAGCCAAUCAGCCCGCAUCGGGCGCUUUGAACUGAUUGGCCACUGUUACCCUAUAAAAGUAAAUGCCUCUCCCGCCACGAGAGAGAAGCACAGAGGAAGCACAGAGAGAGAUAGAGAAAGUCCACCGGCGAGAAAGGGCUGGUGGCAGAGAGGAGGCCUCGCGGGGCCCACGCGGAGAUAAAUAAAGGCAAGAUUGCACACUGCCA